AUAAUUUUCGCGUGUAGAGUUUUCUCACUGCGCACGUAUCGUCGUUUUCUAAACUGUGUUCCGACUUGUGAGAUGGUGCGAUAGGCGAGGCGGCGAACUUUUAACUUGCUAGUCAGCGCUUGUCUCCUUUCGUUUUCGCGUCUUGCGUAUACGCACAUCUGAUUUGUGUCUCGCAGGUUGCAGCUAGGUGCUUCUACGUUGCGGCGCCUUUUGCGGUUUCUGUGGUGGUAUCUCUUCUUGUUUCUAACGGGUGGUAUCCUCCUCUUUUUUUUUCUACAAUUAGUGAAGACGUCGCGGUUGCAGCUCCCGAUACCUUGCUCACUUCGCUCCGUUGCAGGAUGUCUCUACGGGUGCUCCUCGGAGACGAAGAAACCGAAAUUUUCCCGGCCCUCAAUGAUGACGGACUUCCUAUCAUAAAAAACGGCCACCCGGUCUACAUUACUGCAGAAGCCGUGCAAGUUCGAGUUCUUUCUGAAGCGACAGAAGAUGCAGUCCCAGCUCCCUCAAAAGAGAGGGCAGAGGAGAUUUGGCCCGAGGCCACAGUUUUGUUCCUUAUUGAAAUGUACAAGAGCUAUCAAUCCAAUUUAAGAAAUAGGAAGAAAUCGGAACGACAGGUAUGGGAAAUGCUGGCCGACGCAAUUAAUCAGAGGUUUAAUUGCGAAAUGGCUUUUUCGCAAAUAGAAAAUAAGUGGAGAUCGCUAGAAAAAAAGUACAGGCUAGUGAAGCAACAUAACAGUAUGUCUGGCAGUGACCGGAGGACUUGCGACAUUGAAGAGUGAGAAAAAUUUUUGAAACCCUUCCCUGCAUGUUAGUUCGACUUAAUUCGACAUAAUGCUCUCGCAUGGCUGAGUGUUCGAGCUAUAUAUUCUGCAUGGUUAAAACACUGUUUCUCUGUGUUCUUUUGUAGCCACUUAAUUGAAGCUUAAAAAUAGAAACUUCAUAAAUCAGCAAAUCGACCAGAUUUCAGCUUAAUUCCAAUGAGUCCACCGUUGUAUAGCCGUUAACUUAUUAUUUGUGAAGGCAGCUGGCUGAGGUCUUCGAGACUAUGCACUCGUUUAAUCCUGCCUACGUCGCGGCUGCAGGACGAGUAUUGAGGCAAGUUACAAUUCCUUUUUUUUCUUAUGGAAAUGCAUUGUGUGCAUACCAUCAAUAAUCAUCUAGCUUCCAUGCCUAAAUAGCACCUCUUCCUUAUUGUAAUUAAGUGAUGAGGUAAUAAGUAAUAUUAUUACUGCUUGAUAGUUGUUCAGUGUAGAAUGCUCUUUAUAUUGUAAAACAGUUGAACUUGGGGCAAAAUAUUUUGCCACCAGUGCCCAGUCAGCUGUCUCAAGCCCCCAGUCACCAGCUGUCGAGAGUCCCCAGGCAACGACAAGUAGGGGCAGCAUAUCAGAAGACGUGAUGGAGCUAGACCCAGACUGUCCAUCACCACUGUCCAGUCCAGCACAACAGCCCAGUCCUGCCCAGCAGCCGAGUCCUGCCCAGCAACCACCACAAGGCCCUUCAGGAAGACGACCUCGACAAGACUCAAACCGGGUGCUUAUAGAAGGGUUUCUGAAUUAUCUAAAGCAGUCGGAAGAAAACAUAACGGCGCCACAAUGAGCGCAUGAGGCUUGAUCAGGAGGCCCUGGCUGUCUUG
rnacentral:lncRNA from 1 species